GUCCCUGUAGCACAAUGGAUUGUUUGUUGGACUUCUAAUCCAAAGGUCGUGGUUUCGAAUACCCCUGGAAUG